CAGACACUCGGCACUCGGCCACGGAUAAGCAACAUCUCUGCUGUUGUUAAGCAACAUUUCUACCGUCAUUAAGCUUCCAAGCACUGGUGGGAGAAGGACAAGACACAGGAGGAGAAUACGAAAUGGAUGAUACAAUACAUCUAAAAAGGGACAAGCGACAGGGGCUGUGAGAUACCUGGCAGCGGUCGGUGUCUAUGAGUUUGGAGUCAGCCUGGUCGACAUAGCAAAUUCCAGGCCAGCCACUACACAAUGAAACCUGGUCUCAAAAAGAGAGGAAUGAGGGGAGGGGAAGAGAAAGAAGAAAAGGAUGAAGCUGGAGAAAGAAGGAGCAGUAAUUAAAGACAAGAGAACAUCUAAGAAAUGCAGUGUAAUGAACAAAAUUUGGGUCUCAGGGAUUAUGCCCUUGAAAUGGAUAUUAGGGGCCUGGACUCCUUCUGUUCCUCUCUCUCUUUCUGAAUUGAGCCGUCUUCCUCCAUCACAAGAUGUCACAAGAGCCAAGUGACCCUGAACUAAAACUUCUGAAACAGUCAAAAUAAACCUUUUUUUUUCCCCU